rnacentral:lncRNA from 1 species
GCAAAAACUCAAAAUAGAUACCAGGUGUCUGCUGUGAAGGGCUCCUCAGGUGGUCUGAAGGGGCUCUAAGCAGCCCCUCCAGUCUCAGAGAUGCCAUCCCUGCUGUCACUGCUGGGGUGGGGAGAAAGGGGACAAUGAACACUGGGAUCCUCCCGUGGCCACAAACAAACCCGGCCAGAAGCUGCAAGAGAGAAGCCAGGACCAUUUCCAUUUCCUCGGGGACCCCCAGACCAACAACUGUUCCCUGAGCAUCAGAGACACCAGGAGGAAAGAUGGCAGAGUAUAUUUCUUUUGGUUGAAGAGGAGUCCGUCGUGAAUUUCAGCUUCAAGCAAAAGACACUGUCUUUGAAUGUGACAGGUCUCUGCCUCUCUCUCUCCCAGCCCUCACCCAGACACCUGACAUCCAAGUCCCAGCAACUCUGGAAUCUGGCCAUCCUGUGAAACUGACCUGCUACGUGUCAGCAGCCUGUAAAAGCAGGAAGCCUCUCACCUUUUCGUGGAUAUGGGGAACUGUCAUUUCCUUGGGCCCUGGGACACCUCAAUUCUCAGAGAUCACCAUCAUCCCACAUCCCUGGAGCCACGGCUCCAAUAUCACCUGCCCAGUGACUUUCCCAAGGUUUAAUGUGACCGCAGAGAUGACCUUCCAACUCAAAGUCUCCUAUGCUCCACAGAACCUGACCAUGUGUCUUCCAUGGAAACAACACAGGUGGUGGCAUGAGGACAGCCGUGAAAGGACACUGAGGUGGGCUGACAACAUUCAGACGGUCCCCAAACUCCUCUCUCUCCUCACCAGCCCUGACACACAAGCCCAACAUUUUCAUC